AUUGAACGCUGGCGGAAUGCUUUACGCAUGCAAGUCGAACGGCAGCACGGACUUCGGUCUGGUGGCGAGUGGCGAACGGGUGAGUAAUGUAUCGGAACGUGCCCAGUCGUGGGGGAUAACGUAGUGAAAAUUACGCUAAUACCGCAUACGAUCUGUGGAUGAAAGCGGGGGAUCGCAAGACCUCGCGCGAUUGGAGCGGCCGAUAUCAGAUUAGGUAGUUGGUGGGGUAAAGGCCCACCAAGCCAACGAUCUGUAGCUGGUCUGAGAGGACGACCAGCCACACUGGAACUGAGACACGGUCCAGACUCCUACGGGAGGCAGCAGUGGGGAAUUUUGGACAAUGGGCGAAAGCCUGAUCCAGCCAUUCCGCGUGCAGGAUGAAGGCCCUCGGGUUGUAAACUGCUUUUGUACAGAACGAAAAGGUUUCUACUAAUACUAGGAGCUCAUGACGGUACUGUAAGAAUAAGCACCGGCUAACUACGUGCCAGCAGCCGCCGUAA
rnacentral:rRNA from 1 species